AUUGAACGCUGGCGGCAUGCUUUACACAUGCAAGUCGAACGGCAGCGCGGGCUUCGGCCUGGCGGCGAGUGGCGAACGGGUGAGUAAUGCAUCGGAACGUGCCCAGUAGUGGGGGAUAGCCCGGCGAAAGCCGGAAUAAUACCGCAUACGACCUGAGGGCGAAAGCGGGGGACCGAAAGGCCUUGCGCUCUUGGGGCGGCCGAUGUCGGAUUAGCUAGUUGGUGGGGUAAAGGCUUACCAAGGCGACGAUCCGUAGCUGGUCUGAGAGGACGACCAGCCACACUGGGACUGAGACACGGCCCAGACUCCUACGGGAGGCAGCAGUGGGGAAUUUUGGACAAUGGGGGCAACCCUGAUCCAGCCAUGCCGCGUGCGGGAAGAAGGCCUUCGGGUUGUAAACCGCUUUUGUUCGGGAAGAAAUCCUCUGGGCUAAUACCCCGGGGGGAUGACGGUACCGGAAGAAUAAGCACCGGCUAACUACGUG
rnacentral:rRNA from 1 species